UACAGAGGUCCCGAGCGUUGUUCGGAUUCACUGGGCGUAAAGGGUGCGUAGGUGGCGGGGUAAGUUUGAUGUGAAAUCUCCGGGCUUAACCCGGAAAAUGCAUUGAAUACUAUUUUGCUUGGAGGGUUGGAGGGGGGACUGGAAUUCUCGGUGUAGCAGUGAAAUGCGUAGAUAUCGAGAGGAACACCAGUGGCGAAGGCGAGUCCCUGGACAACACCUGACACUGAGGCACGAAAGCUAGGGGAGCAAACAGG
rnacentral:rRNA from 1 species